GGACGAACGCUGGCGGCGUGCUUAACACAUGCAAGUCGAACGGAGAGGCCCUGCUUUUGUGGGGUGCUCGAGUGGCGAACGGGUGAGUAACACGUGAGUAACCUGCCCUUGACUUUGGGAUAAAUUCAGGAAACUGGGGCUAAUACCGGAUAGGAGCUCCUGCUGCAUGGUGGGGGUUGGAAAGUUUCGGCGGUUGGGGAUGGACUCGCGGCUUAUCAGCUUGUUGGUGGGGUAGUGGCUUACCAAGGCUUUGACGGGUAGCCGGCCUGCGAGGGUGACCGGCCACAUUGGGACUGAGAUACGGCCCAGACUCCUACGGGAGGCAGCAGUGGGGAAUAUUGCACAAUGGGCGGAAGCCUGAUGCAGCAACGCCGCGUGCGGGAUGACGGCCUUCGGGUUGUAAACCGCUUUCGCCUGUGACGAAGCGUGAGUGACGGUAAUGGGUAAAGAAGCACCGGCUAACUACGUG
rnacentral:rRNA from 1 species